rnacentral:rRNA from 1 species
CGGAUCGGAGUCUGCAACCCGACUCCGUGAAGCUGGAUUCGCUAGUAAUCGCGCAUCAGCCAUGGCGCGGUGAAUACGUUCCCGGGCCUUGUACACACCGCCCGUCAAGCCAUGGAAGCCGGGGGGCGCUUGAAGUGCGUUGCCGCAAGGCGCGCCCUAGAGCGAAACCGGUGACUGGGGCUAAGUCGUAACAAGGUAUC